rnacentral:lncRNA from 1 species
UGGUUUAUAUGGCCAAUCUGCAGAAAGGCUGCUGUGUGUGAAAACCUGACUCCAGUCCUCCCAGCCUCUAGGACCCUGCCCAGACCUGGCCUACCUUCUUCCUCACCGCCACUGGAAAAAAACAGACGUCAAAAGCCUUAACAAAAUACUGUCUGAUAUAGCAAAAUGGAACAUGUUUCCUACUAGAAGUAUAUGACCCGAAGGGGGAAAAAUCUGACUCAUUUUAAAAACAAUUGUUAGGGGUGUGUGUGUUUUGAGAGAAAGAAAUAGAAAAGGGCCAAUGUAUUUGCUAUUAAAAAAAUCUUCAAAAUAACAGAAAAAAUUUAAAACUAUGUACUCAAAAAA